GGUAUCUGUGUGUGUGGGUGUUUGUCUGUGUGUGUGUGUACACCUCGAUGCUCCUCAGGGCUCCCAUCCCACACACCACCUCACAACCAGGGACGGUCCCUCACUUCCCCACAUGGAAAACCCGCCUGGACUAGCUGGGGAUGACCUGCCUGCUUUUGAGCACUCCCCUGUGGCCCCACAACAGCCUUGGGAUAUCUGGGAUGUUCUGUGGUUCUCUUGGUUUAGUUUAUGCUUGGGGUUAUUUUUUGUGUUUUCUCUUUUUUAAGCCUGCAUGUGCGGCCUCUAAUACAGUAUUUUGGAA